rnacentral:rRNA from 1 species
GAUGAACGCUGGCGGCGUGCCUAACACAUGCAAGUCGAACGAACACACAAUAAGCUUUCUCCUCUAAGGUUAGCGGCGGACGGGUGGGUGACGCGUGCAUAACCUGCCUCUAAGACGUGGAGAACAUCGGGAAAACAGAUCUAAUACCGCCGCAUAUAUUCAACCGCAUAAAUCAAGAGAUCUACACGGUUUGGCUGUUACUUUGAGACGGUUUCGGGUCGGAUUAGCUAGGUGGUAAGGUAACGGCUUAGCAAGGCAACGAUGCGUAGCUGACCUGAGAGGAUGAUCGGCCACACUGGAACUGAGACACGGUCCAGACUCCUACGGGAGGCAGCAGUAGGGAAUCUUACGCAAUGGGCGAAAGCCUGAUGGAGCAAAGCCGCGUGAGUGAUGAAGGUCUUCGGAUCGUAAAGCUCUGUUGUUAGGGAAGAACAAAAGCGGAAGUAACUAUGAACGUAUUGACGGUACCUAACGAAAAAGCACCGGCUAACUACGUG